UCUUGCUCCCUGUCCCUGGCCCUUUUCCCCCAACCUUCCCCAUUCCUAUCCCUCUCCCUCUACGCGCUCAUGGCCAUAGCCAGCCUGUAUUCUUUUCUACUCUCUCUCUCCCUCUCUCUGCCUUUCUCUGCCUCUACUACCCUCUUAACUCCCCUCCCCAUGCCUGAAUAAACUCUAUUCUAUACUAUACUAUCCUGUAACUGGUACCUCAUGGGGAAGGGAUGUCUUGGCAUGGGCCCGCUGAGACAUCCCCUUCCCCCUUACCUGACUACCCCUCCACAGAACAUAUCUUCUCUCUCUUUAUCCUUUUAUAAACACAUCAGCGAGCACAGUGUUCUUUGCUUAUAAAAUGCCCAUUCAAAAGACUCCUAUGGUGAGGUCAUGGUAGCCAGACAGCGGCCCCAAGAAAAGGUGGUUGACCCAUGAGGAUACCACUUCAUUACGGAGCAUCAUAUUGAAAGAACUAUUGGAAAGCCGGGCCCCACUGGAGGGCGGAGAUCCCCAGUGGCAUGCUGGGAAGGGUGUCCAAUCUCUUGUGCCUUCCUACUGUUCUGCUCCCUGACUCUGCAGCUAAAAGUCUGACUGAUGCAGGAAGUAUGGUGGAAUGAGAAGUCUGGAACAGGUGAAGCAAGCAUGAGACCAUAUCAAGAAAGCAGUCUUUGGCCUUAACUCCAUAGAUCUUCCAGUAGAAUUUUAACCUGAGCCAAAGGUACCUGCUGUGUUUCUUAUGAGAGGUACCAAUGCGCAUGCGUGGACUUAGCCGCAGUUGCACUCAAGAACAAAGAGAAAGGUUUUCUAAGUGUCAUAGGUUAAGAAAAUGUCUCUUGUACUUUCUUCUGAUUCAAAAUAAAAGGACAGAAAA